rnacentral:rRNA from 1 species
UACGGAGGGUGCAAGCGUUAUCCGGAUUUACUGGGUUUAAAGCGUGCGUAGGCGGUUCGUUAAGUCUGUUGUGAAAGCCCCGGGCUCAACCUGGGAAUGGCAAUGGAUACUGGCGAGCUAGAGUGUGUCAGAGGAUGGUGGAAUUCCCGGUGUAGCGGUGAAAUGCGUAGAGAUCGGGAGGAACAUCAGUGGCGAAGGCGGCCAUCUGGGACAACACUGACGCUGAGGCACGAAAGCGUGGGGAGCAAACAGG